ensembl:lncRNA
GAUCUGCUUAUGUUUGACCAUUCUUCUUUAUUAAACUGCUCUUGACUAGAAAUUGAAACAGAAGAGUGCAUUUUUAUCCCUGUCCAGUCUUGUCCUUUAAAUAUGUUUCCCUAAUCUCCAGAUCCCAUAUUAGUUAUAUAGGCUAACUGCCAAAACCUUCCGAAUAUGACUCAGACCCAGAUAGAGUGAAGUCAGAGGCGUAACUUUAAUCCACAAGGCAAAUAACAAAGUGCAGGUAGGCAGAGGUCGGUACACAGGUAGUCAGAAGGCAGCAGUACAAUCCAGAAUCUGAGAAGGAUAAACGGGAGGCAGGCAGAGAGUUCAGGCGUCAGAAAAUCCGAUGGGCUACGGUACAGAAUCAGAAGGCAGGCAACGAAGUCGGGACAGGCAAAACAGGUCUAUGCUGAAGUCAAUGGACAACAGGGAAAAAUAGGCUCAGUAUGUCGCAGUGUCACAAACAAUACCUCAUGGUGAGAGAAGGAAACAGACAGGCUUAUAUGCACAGGUGGUAAUUGGGAACAGGUGUCUAGAAUUCGGGAGAUUGGGACCCGGAGGAUGUGCUGCGUUCCUUUGGAGGCCCCACACGUUCAUCCAUGUAAAACCGCACAACUUUUAGAUGUUCAUGUUAAUUAUGAAAAAACUUUUGAAAGGACUAAGCAAGUUUCUUGCUUCCUCUUCUUUUCUUGCUUUUCUUUUUUGAAGCACCACUGUUAGUGUUUUUGUUUCACGCUGCCAGCGGCGCCUCAAAAAGUACAGGGGUCCUAAAUGAGAAUGAUAUCCUGUGUCAAGUCAGAGGCAGGUGUGAAGAGGCAGGUGUGGAGAGGCAGGUGUGAAGAGGCAGGUGUGGAGAGGCAGGUGUGAAGAGGCAGGUGUGAAGAGACAGGUGUGGAGAGGCAGGUGUGAAGAGGCAGGUGUGGAGAGGCAGGUGUGAAGAUGUUGGUAGUGCCGUUUAAUUGCAGACUCCUAGUGCUCAAUCUUGCUCACACAGUUUCAUGGGCUGGGGAUUUAUGUAGAAGAAAAAAUCUGGUUAGGAGCAUGAUUUUUUUUGGCAUUCUAUGUUUACUGACACAAAAACAUACUGUAAGUCAUGCCCUAAAAUCACUUAUUGGUUCGAUGCUAUGCUGGGUUAGACCAAACUGACACUUGUCACUCUCACGAUUUUCAAACAUCAACUUUAAUUUGAUUGGAAAAUAUAUACUUAUCAGAAUGCCUUCAUUGGCUUAACAAAAAGCCAUACAUUUUUUACUGAAAUAUAACAGUGGCUUAAAAUGUUCUUCAUGCAUAAAGUUUUGCACAAUUUUCUUGAUGUUGUGAAAAUUAUAUAAUGUACUCCUAUAUCAAGUUAAUAUCAAGUAAAAUAUAAAAAAUUGCAUUUACCUAAGUCAUUUAGCUAAUGCGUUGUUUUAUCCAAAGCAACUUUCAAUUGAGGCUGAGAAUGAUCAUAGCAUAUAACUUCUACAACUACAAACCUGUUUCCAAAGAAGUUGGUAUGCAGCGUUAAACGCAAAUACAAACAGAAUGCAAUGAUGUACAAAUCAUAUCUCCCUAUAUUUAAUUGAAAAUAGUGCAAAGAAAACAUAUCAAAUGUUGAAACUGAGAAAUGUACUUGUUUUUGGAAAAAUACAUGCCCAAAUGUAAUACACAUUUGUAAAUUGUGGUCUGCAUAUUUGCAAUAAUUUAGAAGCAAUUCUGUCUCCAUAGAUAACCAACCCCACCCCUGUGACAAACAACCCUGGUAUGUGAAGUAAUUAGCCAGUGGAAAAUGUGUACUACACAUAUGUUAAUUGUUCGAGCAGUUUAAUUGAAAUUUAUGGAAAUAUCAGUUUGAAAUGUAAGAAUGAGCGGAGAACAGAAGAUUCAAAAACGUUUUGAUAGUUAAAUUAGGGUAUACCCACGUCACCAGGCACCACACCACAGACUUUGCUGGUGUGUAUACAGUUGUACUCAAAAGUUUGCAUACCCUUGGAGAAUUGGUAACAUAUUGUAAAAAAAACACA